rnacentral:lncRNA from 1 species
CUACCAAGAACCUCUUCACAUACAGAGUGUCUCAGGUAAGUCUAACUUUGGAGAUUCUCUACCAGUCAUCUUGGGUGACCUGAGGUAGCCAUAUGAAAUGGCCAGGUCCCAUUAUGGGUAAUAGAAAAGAACAUGAAAAAGUCUAUACCUUUUUUUUUCUCCUGCCAUUUUCCAAAAGUUCAUCUUCAAAAGGCACAACUGUAAUGCCUUCUGCAUUGAGACAUGUCUACAAUACACAUGGUCCAACUGCAUUACCAACUGCACCAUAGACACAGUACCUGACUUAAAUAGCAGAAGAUAAGAAACUUGAAUAUUUGUAGCCUUUGGACACAUUCUUCUGAGAUAGGACAUUCUUUGUUCCCUAAACCUGUAUGGGACAUUAGAGUUUCCUACCCAGUAUGUCCCAGUGCUCAAACUAUUUUGUAUUAUCUUCAGAGUUUUUCUUUCCGUCUUAAUUAAAAGAGUAGUUUUUACAGAGCUACAGAAUAAAUAAAACUCUGACGUAUUUUCACAUUCACACAUUGAACAUUUCACGUAUGUUUGACAGUUCAAUAUUAAACCUAAAUUCCCUUCCCCCACCAUAAAUUAUGAAGCAUAUAUUGCCAUCUAGCGUCCUUCUGAAAUGACGCUUCUGCCAAGAUUAUGAAAUAAAACAUGUUCAGUCAGACAAAGGAGAUGUAAAACUUUUGCAAGGGG